CAGUAGCCGGGUAAUACGAAGGGUGCAAGCGUUACUCGGAAUUACUGGGCGUAAAGCGUGCGUAGGUGGUGGUUUAAGUCCGUUGUGAAAGCCCUGGGCUCAACCUGGGAAUUGCAGUGGAUACUGGGUCACUAGAGUGUGGUAGAGGAUAGUGGAAUUUCCGGUGUAGCAGUGAAAUGCGUAGAGAUCGGAAGGAACAUCUGUGGCGAAGGCGACUAUCUGGGCCAACACUGACACUGAGGCACAAAAGCGUGGGGAGCAAACAGGAUUAGAUACCCCUGUAGUCCCUGUCUCUUAUACC
rnacentral:rRNA from 1 species